rnacentral:misc_RNA from 1 species
GGUGAAUCAUCGAAUCUUUGAACGCACCUUGCACUCCUUGGUAUUCCGAUGGGCAUGCCUGUUCGAGCGUCAUUAUCCUCCCUCAAACCUCGUGUUUGGUGUUGGACCGCGUUGGUCGAGCGACCAACUGGUCUCAAAGAUAGUGACGGCGUCCGUGGGACCCUCGGUGCAACGAGCUUUUAACGAGCACGCGUCGAGUUUCAAGGACCCUCCGGGCCGGUCUAGACCUAUAUCUUUCUCAGGUUGACCUCGGAUCAGGUAGGAAUACCCGCUGAACUUAAGCAUAUCAAUAAGCGGAGG